GCGCAACGGAAGAUAAGCAUUUUACUGGAAAACGUGUGAAUAUUUUGAGUAAGAAUGGAACAGUGAGAGGCGUGCGUCACAAAGUGAGCGCGGGACAGGUGCUUUUCAAUAAUCUCUCUAAACUUUAUGUGGGCCCCCUCCGCAACAGCAGGCCCCCCAGACAGAGGCCAAGGAUACAGUGAAUGCUGCAUGGUCAAGAACCAAGACAUCCUAUGGUGUGGGCUCUGUCAAACGGAACCUAAAACGCUCUUGACAUGAGCUGCAACUGAACAA